UUUUUUGAUUUUUAUCACCGACAUCAUUUGAUUUUUAUCAUUUGAUUUUUAUCACCGACACGGCAGUGAUUUCUUUUGUAUUUUCCUCAUGAAUUAUUCAUUAAUGAGUUUUUAAGAAAUUGUAUAUGGAUUAUUGUAGUUUUUAAGAAUUUGUAGGGUCUGUUUAUACGAUCCUUUUAAGCGAGAUUCAAUGAAGUGUGAAUUAUUUUGAGCAACUGAAAUACAUUUUCAGCCCUAAACAAAAGUUAGAUAACUUUCAAUUGCUGAACCGAGAUUAGAAACGCGCUAGAAGUUGUGUAGUGGGAGAAGACGAUUAAUAGCAUUCAACAUUAUACAAUCAACAGAAUAAAUUAAGUAAUAAGCAGAACACAACUGUUGGUUCCAUUUGGUAUCUCGAACGUUUGACCUAGCCCAUUGCGUGCUGUUAUUCCCAGGUGUCCCAUGGCCACAUGCAGCACGUGGUCCCGGCAGGUAUUCAUUUCUAGACAUGCUGGACCACAUAUUAGAUGCUCUUGUACCGAAAUGUUGGAACCUGGUUCGUUUGAUCAAACUGCUCUCGGCUGCCGGUCUAUAGCUAAUUGUUUUUUGUCUAAAACAUGGAAUUUCAUACGAUUUGUAAGAAGCAAUUUUGAUAGAUCAUGAAGUGCGAUUUAUUUCAAUUGCUAAAAAUACUUCACACUUGAUUGAAUCCUGGGUAAGCGGGACCAUGCAUAUAAACAGCCCCUUAGUAAAAGUUAGAAGGGUUUCAGAAAUUAUUUCAAGCAUAUUUGUUGUUGAGUUCUCAGUCUUAAGCUUCUUAUUGCAGAAUUAAAUACAAAUGUAUUAAGCCUCUUUUCCCUUUUUCGCAACGGUCAAAUCACAAGAACGCUGAAUGCGAAUGCUUUCAACCAAUGGCAAUGUUUGAAAGUUUAUUUUAAGCGACCGCUUUCAACCACUUUCAGCGACCUUUACGAGUUGGUUUUUGCGAUGAGUGGGAAGAGCCUUUAAUUUAUGUAAUAAUAGUAUUUAUAGUGGUGUAGUACAAUUAAUUUAUAGAGGUGUAAUACAAUUAAACUGUGAAGUUUCAUAUAAAAGGAGGAUAUAUAAUAGACAACAAUGUAACUCUUGUUAUGAUGAAUAGAGUUUUAGAAAUUAUAUAACAUCUCAUUAAAUUCUGGUAAUUUAAUUGGCUGACUAUGAUCAAGUGAUAUGGAAUUAAAAUUCCCAUAUUGCACGCUCAGCCGUGG